rnacentral:tRNA from 1 species
GGGGGUGUAGCUCAGUACGGUUUAGAGCGCCUGCCUGUCACGCAGGAGGCCGCGGGUUCAAGUCCCGUCAUCCCCGCCA